AAUGAACGCUGGCGGCGCGCUUUACACAUGCAAGUCGAGCGAGAAAGUCCCUUCGGGGAUGAGUAAAGCGGCGGACGGGUGAGUAAUACGCAAGAACUUGCCCCUUAGUGAAGGAUAUCCUUGAGAAAUUAAGGUUAAUACUGCAUAUUUUCCUGCGGGAAGAAAGGCGGCUUUUAUGCUGUCGCUAGGGGAUAGGCUUGUGUGCUAUCAGCUUGUUGGUGGGGUAAUGGCCUACCAAGGCGAUGACGGCUAGCCGGCCUGAGAGGGUGUACGGCCACACUGGAACUGAGACACGGUCCAGACUCCUACGGGAGGCAGCAGUGGGGAAUCUUGCGCAAUGGGCGAAAGCCUGACGCAGCGACGCCGCGUGGAGGAUGACGGUUUUCGGAUUGUAAACUCCUGUUAAGUGGGAAGAAUUGCCUGGCCUUAAUACGGUCAGGCUGUGACGGUACCACUAGAGAAAGCACCGGCUAACUUCGUG
rnacentral:rRNA from 1 species